rnacentral:rRNA from 1 species
UACGUAGGGAGCAAGCGUUGUCCGGAAUCAUUGGGCGUAAAGAGCUCGUAGGCGGCUUGUCGCGUCGACUGUGAAAACCCGCGGCUCAACCGUGUGGUCUGCAGUCGAUACGGGCAGGCUAGAGUUCGGUAGGGGAGACUGGAAUUCCUGGUGUAGCGGUGAAAUGCGCAGAUAUCAGGAGGAACACCGGUGGCGAAGGCGGGUCUCUGGGCCGAUACUGACGCUGAGGAGCGAAAGCGUGGGGAGCGAACAGG